GGGGAUUUAGCUCAGUGGGAGAGCACCUGCCUCGCAAACGCAAGGUCCUGAGUUCAAUCCCUGAUACCCCU
rnacentral:tRNA from 1 species